CCUGCGCCGCUCUUCUCAGUACCCAUCCCGCAGACAGGAAAUGACGCAAUACCGCUGCUCUCAGUCCCCUCAGACCGGAAAUGUCGUCAACCCUUGCGACGAAAACAAGUUACGUUAUUUCACCUCUCGCGAAGAAAACACGUUUGAAUGUUGUCACAUGAUCCAAAUAGGACAAGCUCCUUGAUCACCACCCCAUUGGGAAGAAACUAAAUCACGACCCCCAAAUGGUAGUCUUCCCAUGCAGAUACAGGGAUGUCACACAGAUCCAAAUGGAAACAUCGAACACUGUAAAACCCACUGUGCAGACAGGACCAAUGGUGACAAUAUAAGACCAUGCCGAGCUUCAUGGACGGUUCAAACUCAUCCUGCCCAGGAACGGCUGAAAACGUUUACAGUCAAUCAACAGGGGAACAUGGAAAGAGAGGAUUGGAAGUGAAAUAGAGCCAUAGGGGAAGGACUGUGGCAUCUUCAUGUUGAUGACUGAUAUGCCAACUCUGAGGAAGUGGUGGUGUAUAUUGCUAGCGGACAAUUUCAAACUUGGGUGCAUGCCACAGGAAAGAGUUUGCCCUAUGGACAGAUGAGGCAAAAGCAUUACUGCAGGGUUAAGUGCCACCAGUCUAUCAGUUACAGAGGUGAAAUUUGAAUAUAAUUGCUGAGGAAGAGGUGCAACCACAGCUCCUUCAAGUUAGUGGUGGCCCACUCCAAAAAGAUAUGGCGGGAAAAAAUGUUUUGCUAAAAGGAUUGUGCAAGACAGCACAAAAGCCUCGGACAGGGCUGGGGGUGUGGAAUCAAUGCAGUAGGAGUUCCCAAGUAUCCUGCAGAUGGAAGAGGAUGAGCACGAACUACAAUGUCUUGGAGCCAUUCAAGUUCUGUUUCAACCAUCUGGAAGAUGGAUUUACCUUUUUUGAGGAGAUUGUUGACUAAAGAAAAUAUCUGGUGUUCUCUCAAUAAUAAUAAAAAAUAAUAAAACUAAAAAAAUAAAGUUUACCACAUUAGAACUGGUUGUAUUGAGUUC